rnacentral:lncRNA from 1 species
UCAUCGGAUCUCGACAAUCACACCGCAAAAGAUUAUUACAUCGGAUAGAUCUCCACGAAGAUCAUGAAGAACAUGGUAUUGAAGAUCAAAGAGAGAGAAGAAGCCAUCUAGCUACUAGCAAUGGACCCGUAGGUCUGUGGUGAACUACUCACGUAUCAUCGGAGGGGCAAUGGAGUAGAUGUAGAUGCCCUCCAUGAUCAAUUCCCUCUCAGGCAGAUUAUCAGAGAAGACUCCCAGAUUGGAUCUCACGGGAAGAGAGGCUCUCGGCGGAGGAAAAGUAUUUUCGUGGCUCUUUUUUGCGAUGGGGCGAUAUUUGGGAAUUUAUAGGCCGAAGAAUAUGUUUAGGAG